rnacentral:rRNA from 1 species
CCAGCAGCCGCGGUAAUUCCAGCUCCAAUAGCGUAUAUUAAAGUUGUUGCAGUUAAAAAGCUCGUAGUUGAACUGUUGAUGUGAGUGCGAUAGCUUUCGGGAUGAAUGUCUCGAGAUGGCGUGUUGUGCUUGUGUCAUACUUUGCUUUCAUUUUAUUGUGGAGGCAAUCGUUUACUGUAAAAAAAUUAGAGUGUUCCAAGCAGGAUGUAUGUCCGGAAUAUAGUAGUAUGGAAUAAUAAGAUAGGACUUUGGUACUAUUUUGUUGGUUUGUAUACCAAGGUAAUGAUUAAUAGGGACAGUUGGGGGUAUUCGUAUUUAGAUGUCAGAGGUGAAAUUCUUGGAUU